rnacentral:rRNA from 1 species
GUCUGCGGCCAUACCACCCUGAACUUGCCCAAUUUCCUCUGAUCUCAGAAGCUAACCAGGGUCGGGCCUGGU